rnacentral:sRNA from 1 species
AGCAGCCGCGGUAAUUCCAGCUCCAAUAGCGUAUAUUAAAGUUGUUGCAGUUAAAAAGCUCGUAGUUGAAUUUCGGGGUUAGUAGAUUGGUCAUGCCUCUGGUAUGUACUGGUUUCACUGAUUCCUCCUUCCUGAUGAACCGUAAUGCCAUUUAUUUGGUGUUGCGGGGAAUUUGGACUGUUACUCUAGAAAAAUUAGAGUGUUUAAAGCAAGCUAACGCUUGAAUACAUUAGCAUGGAAUAAUGAAAUAGGACGUUCGAUCCUAUUUUGUUGGUUUCUAGGAUUGACGUAAUGAUUAAUAGGGAUAGUUGGGGGCAUUAGUAUUCAAUUGUCAGAGGUGAAAUUCUUGGAUUUAUUGAAGACUAACUACUGCGAAAGCAUUUGCCAAGGAUGUUUUCAUUAAUCAAAGAACGAAAGUUAGGGGAUC